rnacentral:tRNA from 1 species
CUGGUCGUCGUUCAUGGGUGGUGAUCCGGGACGGCGGGCUUCGGGAGCGAGACUCGGACUGCCUUCCGAUUCUAGGCGAUGGACGGCGCGUGCGUUGCGCGCCGGCCGGG